rnacentral:rRNA from 1 species
GACGAACGCUGGCGGCGUGCUUAAUACAUGCAAGUCGAGCGGUAAGGCUCCUUCGGGAGUACACGAGCGGCGAACGGGUGAGUAACACGUGAGCAAUCUGGCCCUUCACUUUGGGAUAACUCCGGGAAACCGGUGCUAAUACCGAAUGCGACCACUUCAGGCAUCGUGACGGUGGUGGAAAGUUCCGGCGGUGAAGGAUGAGCUCGCGGCCUAUCAGCUUGUUGGUGAGGUAAUGGCUCACCAAGGCUUCGACGGGUAGCCGGCCUGAGAGGGUGACCGGCCACACUGGGACUGAGACACGGCCCAGACUCCUACGGGAGGCAGCAGUGGGGAAUAUUGGACAAUGGGCGAAAGCCUGAUCCAGGCAACGCCGCGUGAGGGACUGACGGCCUCGG